CCUGAGGCGGCGGCGGAGCGGGACGCUAGGGAAAAGCUGGCUCUCUGGGAUCGGAGACCGGACACGACGGCGCCGCUGACCGACAGGCAGACGGACUCGGUAUUGGAGCUGAAGGCGGCGGCAGAGAACUUGCCGGUGCCAGCUGAGGCUGGAGUGCAGUGGCGUGACCUCGGCUCACUGCAACCUCCACCUCCCGGGUUCAAGCGAUUCUCCUGUCUCAGCCUCCCGAGUAGCUGGGAUCACAGGUGCCUGCCACUACACCCGGCUAAUUUUUUGUAUUUUUAGUAGAGAUGGGGUUUCGCCCUGUUGUCCAGGCUGUUCUCGAACUCCUGACCUCAAGUGAUCUGCCCGCCUCGGCCUCCGAAAAUGCUGGGAUUACAGUCGUGAGCCACCGUGCCUGGCCUGAAGCAUUCUUUUUAUACGAUUUGGAAUUGUGUCCAAAUGCAGAUUGAGUUUAGAGUCUUCAACUUUUUCUGUCCUCCAACUUUAGAGAUUUGAUUUAAACGUUCUCUUCACAUUCACUGUUGUAUGCUCAGCCAUCAAAUAGGCGUUCUUUCUUGGGUUUCUUUUUCCACCUCUAGGAUAUGGUACCGGAAGUGGAUCUGAAAUCAAUGAAGGCGCAGGUGGAAAUUUCUUUGGCUCAGCUAUCAAACUCUUUUAUACCCUGGAUAAUAAAAGUUGUUUGCUCU
rnacentral:lncRNA from 10 species